UUGUGAACCAAAGAGAGAGAUUUUUCUUUGUUGCUUUCAGGCAUUUUUGGAAGCCCAAACAGAUAUCAGAUCUGCCCAGCUUUCUUUUCCGUUCAUGGUUUUCCUUUCCGUUAAGACUUUCCAUGACCACAAAUGCUCUGUAACCGCUCACCGUAUGGAUCAGGACAUGGAUGGCAUCCUCUUCAAGGCAGUGCAGGACAUCAAAGUGGAUACGGGUCUGAAGCUUGACUAUGGCGUCAACAGGAAGACCUUCCAAGGAAUGGGCCUGGGCCUGGACCCGGGCUGGCCGCAUGAUCAUGACCACUGGUCCGUCCCGUGUGCAUGGGGUAAAAUGUUAUCCGGAGGCCUACGAUCCUACAGAUCCUAACGCAGUGUGGUUAUGUCGUCAGGCUGAUGUGCCCAGCCAGGAGGAGGAGGCAGUAUUUCUCUGACCUACUCCAAGAGGAAAUACUGGAGUGGGCAGAGACGCAGGCGGAGCUCCACCUCCACCAGCCAGAGCGUGUUCGGCCGUGAGGAGAGUUAGCGCACGCUGUCUCCCCGGGGGGCCCAGCUCCGGUUCGGCCAGGAAGGGCCAGAGGGCGAAGGUGGCUGUCGGUCCCUCGGAGAACUCCACUCUCUCAAAGCACCGAUGGAAGGCGUGUCGCUGGGGCCCGAGACAGAGCCCGGCUCCCGCUGGGCCCGCUCCCCCUGCGAAGCAGAGCGCCGUCACCAGCUGCGGCACGCUUUACGGCUUUGUCCCGCGUCACCGCCAAGGUGGUGGAGUUCCACAACUUUUAAUCUACAAAAAUACACUCAGGGGGUGCUGUGUAUUUGAACUACUAUGAACUGCAUAUUAUAAAGUGCUAUUUUAAAUGAUUUCAAUCACGUCCUUAAAUAUAUACGCAAGAAUACAAGAAAUAGUUAGGGGACAUACAGAUAUAUAUGGUUUCUUUUCACAGAAAAAAUAAUGAGAAAUUAAUGACAAAUAUUUAUUACUUUGUCUCAUAUUCAUUUCAGUAGCUUCAUUGUUCACAAAAGCUUUCCUUGUCUUUUUUGUGUAGGUCCAGGAGGAGGAGGCGGUAUUUCUGUAUAUAGUUCACCCUGUGUCUUAUUCUUUGGACAUCACAAGGCUUUUUUUCCCCGUUUGUUAUUGAAUUAGGGAAUGUGUGACAGAGAGCUCUGUCUAAGGCCUCGAGUGGUAUCCUUUUCCCCACCUUACCCCAUAGUUCCACAGCAUUCAUUCAUUCAUUCAUUCAUUCAUUCGUGUUUGUGACCCGUUGCCGGUACAUCUUUACAUACAUAUCACUAACGCACAUUUCACUAAAAUAUCGCGCUAGCUUCGAGGGUACACACUCGAAGCAAGCAGCAGAUUACCCGGUUUCAUGCACACAAACAUUUCCAAUUCACGUUAUCGCUUCGGCUGUCGUUGUCUUUACAGUUACCGUCUUUAUCAUGUUUGUUCCCGUCUGUAUUGUACUCAGCGCUUGGUUUAAAUGUCUUUUUGUGUUUGUGUUCAUUGUCUUGUCUCCCUCCAUGGUUUCCUCUCUCCAUGUGUUUGUUAGUCUGUGCCAUAGCAGGGUACAACUACCGGUGCAGGGGAGGACCAAACCGAGCUGGAGCAACACGGACUAGUUUAUUAUUACUAGUUGUUUAUCAUUCAUUUACUGUAUAUAGUUACAUUUUUUCUUCGUGUUUUUGUAAUUCCUUGUUGUUCAUUGUUCUAUUGAAAGGAAAGGACACCAUGGAAAGAGCUCCUCUUUUUAUGCCCCCCUCCCCUCCCUGUGAACUGUUCCUCACAAGGCUUUAUAUCCUUCAGACAUGACCCACUCCGUGCAGAGCAAGAUUAAAGAGGUGGGCCUGUGUGAGAAGUUUCAUGAUGAUGCCAAGCUCCUUGUGGACUUUAAAAAGUACACAGGGCACAGAGACCUGAGAUUAACUGACCAGCCUACAGCGCACAGACAUGAGUGCUCCCCCUGUUCUUAACUGCAAAAAGAAUGUCAUCAGGUUCUUAGAUUGCCUGAAGACAAGGCUGAAUCUAGAACAGACAGACUCACAGCUCCGUUCCAAGUCCAGUCAUUCAAGGAGAUGCUGCUGACCCUGCGGAAGCCGGUUCCAAAGGCCUGUUCACAGGCGGUGUGUAAAACCAGAUGCUGAAGGACCUAAAAAGUUGACAAACUCAAUAUAGACAUCAGUGAAACUUUAUCAAGGCUGCUGCAGAUUGGACCAAAGAGGAACUACUGCAUCACCCGCCAAGAGCUGCUUGCCGUCAUCCUGGGGCUCCGCCACUUCCAGCCCUACGGGGCUCCACAGCACCAGCCAAGGAAACAAAGUCGAGUACGAAACAUUUCUUCAAAGUUGGCACUCGCAUCUCAUUGCAGUUGCCCUACUCCAAGAGAAAAUACUGGAGUGGGUAGAUGCAGGCAGAACUCAGAUGUGAACUCAGCGGCGAGCUCAGCCAGAGGCCAAAAAACUUAAGGGAGAUGUUGGUGCAUUGGGGGAUACCACUCUCUUGGAGCACCAAAGGAAGUCGAGUCACUGGCUCCGGUUCGGCGCCCCCUCAGCUGUUUCACAGAUGUCUAUACUGAGAUCAUCAAGGCAGCUGCAAAUGGGACCGGAGAGGAACUACUGCAUCACCUGUCAAGAGCAAUGGAAACUUUGACUCUAU